UCCGUGUUAACCACGGCAGUCUCUUUAGAGUGCCCAACUGAAUGCUGGCAACUAAAGACAAGGGUUGCGCUCGUUGCGGGACUUAACCCAACAUGUCACCACACGAGCUGACGACAGCCAUGCAGCACCUGUCACUCGGCUGUAUUGCUACAGAAACCGUAUUUCUACGGCGGUCCGAGGAUGUCAAACCUAGGUAAGGUUCUGCGCGUUGCUUCGAAUUAAACCACAUGAUCCACCGCUUGUGCGGGCCCCCGUCAAUUCCUUUGAGUUUUAGUCUUGCGACCGUACUUCCCAGGCGGGGUACUUAUCGCGUUAGCUCCGGCUCUGCAGGGGUCAAUACCCGCAAAGCCUAGUACCCAUCGUUUACAGCGUGGACUAC
rnacentral:misc_RNA from 1 species